UACUCCUACGGGAGGCAGCAGUGGGGAAUCUUCCGCAAUGGACGAAAGUCUGACGGAGCAACGCCGCGUGAGUGAAGAAGGUUUUCGGAUCGUAAAGCUCUUUCGUUAGGGACGAACGUGCUCUUUGUGAAUAAUGAGGAGUAAUGACGGUACCUAAAUAAGAAGCCACGGCUAACUACGUGCCAGCAGCCGCGG
rnacentral:rRNA from 1 species